rnacentral:rRNA from 1 species
UACGUAGGGUGCGAGCGUUGCCCGGAUUUAUUGGGCGUCAAGGGCGCGUAGGCGGCCUGGCGCGUCGGCUGUGAAAUCUCCCGGCUCAACUGGGAGGGGACGGCCGAUACGGCUGGGCUUGAGCGAGGUAGGGGAGAGUGGAAUUCCCGGUGUAGUGGUGAAAUGCGUAGAUAUCGGGAGGAACACCAGUGGCGAAGGCGGCUUCCUGGCCUGUUCUUGACGCUGAUGCGCGAAAGCUAGGGGAGCAAACGGG